ensembl:lncRNA
AUGGCUGGCACAGGACCCCCGGGGCACGGCAGGUGCCCGUUGCCCGCUCCGCCAGCGGCUGCAUUCCCCAAAAGCACACCAUCCCAUCGUGUCUGCUGCCUCCUGACCCCCGGCCCUUAUCUCAUCCCACAUCACCUUCCUGCGUUUCCUGGCCUCUCCCUGCCCCGGGCCAUCCCUGGGUCUCCGGAGCGAGCCGUGGCCACGCCCGAGCUGGCGCGGGUUACCAGCAGCCGCGGGGCUGGGACCGCUCGCCGCCGGGCCCGGGCUUCGCGCUCGUCCUGGCCGCUGGGGCCUCGGAGAGCGGCGGCAGGAGCGAGGCAUCACCCGAGCGCUGACAGGCGCCUCUCCGCCUUCCCCGCCCGGCGCAUUCGCCUUGCCACGUGCAGAACCCGGCAGGCGCGGACCGCCAGCGCCCUCGCGGUUGCCGUGGCUACGCACGAGCGGCCGCAGCUGACCCAGGCGGGGCCUCCCUCCGCCGCCUCCGCCUCGGGCUCCGUCCCCGCUCGGUUAGGGAACCCCAAGCCCCCGGCCCCUACAAGCUGUGCACACCUGCAGCAGACCCGUUUCUGCAAAGCUUCUGAAGAAAAGAAAACAACUUCAAAGCGCUUGGAAAAGUUGUUGAAUAGGAAAGCUGGCUGUCCUGGAAAUCCCGGCUACUGCUCUGUAACACAAGGCACCUCACCUGUCUCUGCUCAGGCACACAGUCCUGCAGCAGGCAAGGCUGGUCAUCAUCAUCACCAUCAUCAUCACCAGCAGCAGCAGCAACACCUGCAUUUGCAUCUGAACCUGAAGAAGUCAGACUGUUGCAGGGAGUAGAGAAGGGAAGUGGGAAAAGCUCUGCAAACGGUGCUGGGACAGGGAAGAAGAGGAGUUCCAGGCACAUGAGCUGGGAGUGCCAAAGAACAGACACACAGCUGGCACUGAAGGGAGGAGCCAGCUAACAUCUAAGACCAACAGCCCUUCAAACGGCCCUUCAGACUGUGCUGUGGAAGCCAGGGCAGCACCUCCAGACCAUUUAUCCCCACUUCCAAGUUCUGCAAGACAAGUUGUUGUGAUCGUCAAGUUCUGGAAGACUAACUGUCAUGGUAUGUAAGCUCUGGAAGGUUAUUUGUUGUGGCAUGUGAGCUCAUGAUCGAAAGUUGUUUGCAAAUCUCAUUAUAUCAUCCACCAGAACAACCACUGGUACUGGAACACUUGGUUGACGCACAUCUGGAGUGCCCUGUUUUUCAAAACACUGAGGACAUUUGUGAAAACUUCUACUGAAGGAUGGGUGUGUAGGUGUGGUGGUACUGUGGGAAGGAAAAGCUUGACACCCAUGUUUGGGGAGGGUGGGGCAGUGUCCUACAUGUGGACCGUGAUACAAACACCAUUAAGUAGCAAAUCUGGUGCAACUCUGUUUUUGUGGCAGGCAUAAUAACAGCACCCCUACAGCAGGAGCAAGCUUCUCGCGUUCUCUCUUAUUGUUUUAUCACUUGUGUCAGAAGGGUCCUGGAUUGUCAUGAGAAAGUUAGGUCUGUACUGGAAUACUGAUGGGAGGAGAACCUGCGAGCUAAGAUUGCAUAGGGUGAAGGUUGGCGGCUUCCUCAAAACCAGCUAGUAAAGCAUGCUUUCAAAAUAAAGUCUAUGGAAACAAACA